UGAACGCUGGCGGCGUGCUUAACACAUGCAAGUCGAACGAGAAAGGGAUUGCUUGCAAUCCUGAGUAGAGUGGCGCACGGGUGAGUAACACGUAGAUAAUCUACCUUCAAGCCCGGGAUAACUAUUCGAAAGGAUGGCUAAUACCGGAUGAAGUAUUUUAAUAUAAGUUAAACUAUGAAAGAUUGCCUCUUCUUGAAAGCAAUUGUUUGAAGAUGAGUUUGCGGACCAUUAGUUAGUUGGUGGGGUAAAGGCCUACCAAGACGACGAUGGUUAGCUGGUCUGAGAGGAUGAUCAGCCACACUGGAACUGGUACACGGUCCAGACUCCUACGGGAGGCAGCAGUGAGGAAUUUUGCGCAAUGGGGGAAACCCUGACGCAGCAACGCCGCGUGAGUGAAGAAGGCCCUUGGGUCGUAAAGCUCUGUCGACAGGGAAGAAGUUGAAGUUAUCCAAUAGGUGAUUUCAUUGACGGUACCUGUAGAGGAAGCACCGGCUAACUCC
rnacentral:rRNA from 1 species